UUUGCAAGAUAUUGUCUUUCAUUCACAAUGGUAAUGAGAACAGUCAUAUGUUCCUUUAAAGUACUGAAUUGUGCAUAUGUUUUGAGCGCUGCAGAUGGUUAGGUUCUCAUCUGUGCCAUCAGAGAGGCAUCUGAUUGGUCCCAUUCUGUCAGUCUGCAGCAUGACAACGACCACAAACACACAAAGCCAGUCGAGUCAAACACAACUACCUUCAGCAACAAAGAUGAACAGGGAGUCCUGCAGCAGAUGGUCUGGCCUCCACAGAGCCCUUCUACGAGCAUCCUGGACUCAAUGUGGGAUUACACGAAGACGGAAGACGCCUAAACAAGCAAGCUCUCCAAGAUCCUGGAAACAACCUGCCUGACAAGUAAAAUGAGCCAGUGAGGCCAGAGUCCAUCAGUGCCCAGGAGACCUACCAGGGCUUGAUCGCAGGGCACUUCAUCCACUGUCUGCACCGACCCAGCAGAACACCGUCUCCUCUUUCACAGCUCACCUUUCUGUCCAUCAACCUUUUCUGUGGAGAAGAAGAACAGGUGAAAACAGUGGAUUAGAGGUGGGUGAUAAGGACGUAAACUGCUUUAGCACCAGCUACAUAAGAAACCACAGACUGGCUCACCUUUAGGGACGAACACCAGUGAGCUGCUGAAUAUUCAGAAGCGUGACAGCCCUUCUCUUGGUCCGUCAUACAAGAACUCGUGGCCCAAGCUGCUGCCACACUUUCCACAACAAACCUGUGGCAUUUCAAUCCAGAAGAUUUAAAUCAAAAACUCUAUACCUACAGAUCACACGAUUAAUAACAAGCACAAUGUCAGGAGUAAUCUCCAAUUAGUCAUAUUUUAACAAACAUUAAGCAGUGUGACUUUUGCAUAAUCUACCUUUAUGGGUCCCCAUGCCUCAGGGUGUUUGGACACGCUGUCCUCGUGGAUCGUUUCUGAGAAAGCCGGCCAAGGAGACGAGUGCUCAAACUUUGACUUGCUGGAAAAUAACUUGUGCCCACAUUCAGAACACACGUAUAUACCUGAGAGGCAAAAAAACAAGUACCAUGGGCUUUUCUUUAUAAUCCAGUGGGGCUCAUUUCCCCUUGACCUCAUGUUUAUUUUUGGGUCACUCACCAGGUUGGAAGAGAUUCUUGUAUUCUUCUCCCCCAGAAAACGAACAAUACGACAUCUCAUCUGUAUCUUUCAGUCCCUUAAAAACCAAAAGUAAUUUUCCUUUCAGUUAGUUCACAAACAAGUUUGCAAAAAGUCAACUGAGCUAAGCAGGUCUGUCCAGAACAGAUCAUGUGUCAACAGAUCUUUCCUGCUUGUGUAACACCUGAUCUUAUUCCCAUUAGUUCCACAGGAUGGCAGCACUUACACCCCCCAGCAGUUGUGUGAAUGCAAAAGCCAGGUUAAUAAAAUAAUAAAUCAAAUGAUAAUGUCAAUGUAUAUGGCAAGUAAAAAAAAGUGGAGCUCUUCUAUUUUCUAGAGGAAAAUAAACAGCAUAUUAAGUUCUCAUCUAGAAAGUGUUAUAAUAUUUAACGACAACAUUAUAAAGUAUUUACCAGCAAAAAUAUAGAGGGAGAGUAUUGUAUUUUUAAUCAAAUAUAUUUAUUUCAGUUCGUUGCAUAUUAGUCAUUUUGAUACAUUUCCAUAAAGCUAAAGAGUGAUGUAGAAAGCAGCAGCUAGAGACGCCGAUAGUGUUGCCAUCAGCAUUAUUUUGAAUUCAUGAUAAUCCCACUUAAUGUAAGUCUUUUUCUACAUUCAGCAUAUCAAACUAAAAACAUGUUGAUAAAUAAAAAACAGAAUUAGACCCUGGGAAAAAGGAUCAUCUAGUCUCAGAUUCAGUUUUGUAAGCUACUCUUUUCUGGUACAUUUGUUCCGUUAUCUUGUCAGUGUCAGAGCCGUACAACUACAGCAACAACUGCUAAGGUAAAUGAACUCACAUGUAAAAUACAGCUCACAAACACGACCCAUAAAUACAAUCUAAGUGUGUGAGACAGUGACUGUGUCACCAGUGAGGUGAUCCUGUUUUCUGAAUCUGUGUUGAUUGCAUAAUAAAAAAGGUGCUGAGACCAGUCCCUUGUUCUUUGCUGUCCAGUGAGGCCACAUAUCCAUCAGAGGCCUGGGGCUCCCAGAUUGGGCUUUGUUCCAGAACUCCUCAUCCACUGGCCGCACCUUCAGCAGCACAAAGGAACUCCUACAAUCCCAGCAACACGUCCCCCAGCCCGCUCACCUUACUGUCCAUCAACCUUAUCUGGGGAGAGCAAAAAAGAGACAGGGGGAGCGACGUGGGGUUGUGAAGGAGUAGUUUUCCAGUAAACGCAUCUCAAUAUUAAUGGGCACGGUUUCUGAAUAGAAACUGUUUCAACUAAACCAGUUUCAGAAUAUGAGGCAACACAUCUGUUGGGGCAAAAAAAAGUGUGAAGAGUUUUACAUACCUUCAAAUUAAUUCCAUAAGAACCCUGUUAGCUAACCACAUGGUAUUUGCAGAGCAUCUCUCAAAAUAUUUCUUUUACCCUAUUUUACAUGGUAUUUAAAAUCAAAAGCAUAAAACUUGGUAUUAUCACAUUUAAAGGGUAAAAAUGACUCCACUGGUGGUUGCAUUAAGACACUCAAUUGCUGUUCGCUCAAUGUAGAUACGGCAUCUGCAAUAAAGCUGGUGUCAGUGUAAUAAUCUUGACUGUUUUUUUACCUUUAGGGACGAACUUCAGUGAGCUGCUGAAUAUUCAGAAGCGAGACGACCCUUUGGCUGGCCCGUCAUUGACAAACUCAUGGCCCAGUCCAUUUCCACACUUCCCACAGCUCACCUGCAACAACAUAUCAUGCAUCUGAAUAAGAACUUCAGUAACUUAAAAUAUGUUGCUUUCAUUGGGCACACAAGCUUAAUAUUGUGUGUGGUGCCUGGGCUUGAAAUAAAAAGAAACACAUGCACACUCA